rnacentral:tRNA from 1 species
UUCCCUGUGGCUCAGUUGGUAGAGCAUGGUGUUUGCAACGCCAGGGUUGUGGGUUCGAUUCCCAUGGGGGGCA